rnacentral:rRNA from 1 species
AGCGGCGUAAGGGACAGGAAUACGUAGAUUACCUACCCUCGGGACCUGGAUAGCUGCGGGAAACUGCAGGUAAUACGGGAUAACGUCUCCGGACCAAAGGUGUGAUUCCGCCGGAGGAUGGGUCUGCGUCCUAUUAGCUAGUUGGUAGGGUAAUGGCCUACCAAGGCAAUGAUGGGUAGCAGGUGUGAGAGCACGACCUGCGUCACUGGGACUGAGACACUGCCCAGACACCUACGGGUGGCUGCAGUCGAGGAUUUUCGUCAAUGGGCGCAAGCCUGAACGAGCGACGCCGCGUGCGGGAUGAAGGCCUUCGGGUCGUAAACCGCUGUCAGUGGGGAGAAAAUUUGCCGAGGUUCUCCUCGGCAAUUGAUCUAUCCGCAGAGGAAGUGUGGGCUAAGCUCGUGCCAGCAGCCGCGGUAAGACGAGCCACACGAACGUUAUUCGGAAUCACUGGGCUUAAAGGGUGCGUAGGCUGCGCAGAAAGUUGGGUGUGAAAUCCUACAGCUUAACUGUAGAAGUGCACUCAAAACUACUGUGCUCGAGGGAGACAGAGGUAAGCGGAACUGAGGGUGGAGCGGUGAAAUGCGUUGAUAUCCUCAGGAACACCGGUGGCGAAAGCGGCUUACUGGGUCUCUUCUGACGCUGAGGCACGAAAGCUAGGGGAGCAAACGGGAUUAGAUACCCCGGUAGUCCUAGCCGUAAACGAUG